CCCUUUUGAAAAGCACUGACUGGAGCUUUUACCAGUGGCCCACUGAGCCAUCCAGAAAAGGCAGAAUAAAAACCCUGCCUUUAGGGGAAGCCGCAACACCUUCCGUUGUUUUGCUUCAAUCUGUGUGGUGUGACAUGG
ensembl:snoRNA